rnacentral:rRNA from 1 species
CCUACGGGAGGCAGCAGUGGGGAAUUUUGGACAAUGGGCGCAAGCCUGAUCCAGCUAUUCCGCGUGUGGGAUGACGGCCCUCGGGUUGUAAACCACUUUAGUAGAGAACGAAAAGGAGCUAUCGAAUAAAUAGAUCUGCUGACGGUACCCUAAGAAUAAGCACCGGCUAACUACGUGCCAGCAGCCGCGGUAAUACGUAGGGUGCGAGCGUUAUCCGGAAUUAUUGGGCGUAAAGGGUGUGCAGGCGGCUGAGUAAGUCAGAUGUGAAAUCCCCGGGCUUAACCUGGGAGCCGCAUAUGUGACUGGGUGGCUAGAGUGCGUCAGAGGGAGGUGGAAUUCCACGGGUAGCAGUGAAAUGCGUAGAUAUGUGGAAGAACACCGAUGGCGAAGGCAGCCUCCUGGGACGCAACUGACGCUGAGACACGAAAGCGUGGGGAGCAAACAGGAUUAGAUACCCGGGUAGUC